rnacentral:lncRNA from 10 species
UUUUAAAUUUUAAUAUUUUUAGAGACCGUCCAGGCUGGACUUGAACUCCUUCCUCGGCUGAAGUGAUCCUCCUGCCUCAGCGUCCUGAAUAGGAAGUGGAGCCAGAAUCCACAGAUGUCAUUAUCCAUCUGCACACUUUGUUUACUACCCAGAAGGCAAGAAUAUUGCAUUUUAAAAGUGCCCGGACUUUUGUUCUUUCUUAUCACAAAUGACUUGGGAAGCUCCGACCACUCAUGUUUACCCCGAGUGAAAGUCCCAUUCAAAGCCUUGCUUCCUGGAGAGCUUUGAGAUUCUGGUACAAAAGGCAUUUUAUAAGCACAAAGUGGAAAAGCAUCAUUCAUAUUCAUUUGCUGCUGCGGCAUUUCUCCCUGGAAUCUUCCUCUUGUCUGUCAACAUUGGGCAAAAGGACUGGCCUCAUCUACAUUACAGAUAUCCUUGUGAUGGUCUGGAGGUAGGAAAAGGACACCCAGCACAAGAGUGAGAAGGGAAACUCAAGCUCUCCUGUUGGAGAGUCUCAGGCUUCUUUAUCCAUAAAACUGAUUGGACAUAAUUGGUGUGGGUUUAUGAUUUGUUUUGGAAAAACCUGAGUAUGAAAUCA